rnacentral:rRNA from 1 species
GACGAACGCUGGCGGCGUGCUUAACACAUGCAAGUCGAACGGAAAGGCCCUGCUUUUGUGGGGUGCUCGAGUGGCGAACGGGUGAGUAACACGUGAGUAACCUGCCCUUGACUUUGGGAUAACUUCAGGAAACUGGGGCUAAUACCGGAUAGGAGCUCCUGCUGCAUGGUGGGGGUUGGAAAGUUUCGGCGGUUGGGGAUGGACUCGCGGCUUAUCAGCUUGUUGGUGGGGUAGUGGCUUACCAAGGCUUUGACGGGUAGCCGGCCUGAGAGGGUCACCGGCCACAUUGGGACUGAGAUACGGCCCAGACUCCUACGGGAGGCAGCAGUGGGGAAUAUUGCACAAUGGGCGGAAGCCUGAUGCAGCAACGCCGUGUGCGGGAUGACGGCCUUCGGGUUGUAAACCGCUUUCGCCUGUGACGAAGCGUGAGUGACGGUAAUGGGUAAAGAAGCACCGGCUAACUACGUG